AAGAACAAGUAAUCGCUGCAAUGUUAAACAUUGUUGAGGAAAGUCCAUGCUCGCACGGCUCUGAGAUGAACGUAGUGUUCGCGCUUAGCGAAUCAAUAAGCUAAGGCAGUCUAUAGGCUGACGGCAGGAGGAAAACCUAAGUCCUUUAUGGAUAUGGUUGAAACUCCUUGAAAGUGCCACAGUGACGAAGCUGCAUCGGAAACGUUGCAGGUGGAACGAGGUAAACCCCGCGAGCGAGCAACCCAAAUUAUGGUAGGGGCAUUCUCCAAAAAGAAAUGAAUGGAUGGAGAGACGGAAAUUUAUUUCCGUAGAUAGAUGAUUACUACCCAUUAGUACAAGGCAUAGCGCCGUUAUAGUACUCGGGCACAAAACAUGGCUUACGUU
rnacentral:RNase_P_RNA from 2 species